CCAGCAUCUGCGGUAAUUCCAGCUCCAAUAGCGUAUAUUUAAGUUGUUGCAGUUACAAAGCUCGUAGUUGGAUUUCGGGUGGGUUCUAGCGGUCCGCCUAUGGUGAGUACUGCUAUGGCCUUCCUUUCUGCCGGGGACGGGCUCCUGGGCUUAACUGUCCGGGACUCGGAGUCGGCGAGGUUACUUUGAGUAAAUUAGAGUGUUCAAAGCAAGCCUACGCUCUGAAUACAUUAGCAUGGAAUAACAUGAUAGGACUCUGGCUUAUCUUGUUGGUCUGUAAGACCGGAGUAAUGAUUAAGAGGGACAGUCGGGGGCAUUCGUAUUUCAUUGUCAGAGGUGAAAUUCUUGGAUUUAUGAAAGACGAACUUCUGCGAAAGCAUUUGCCAAGGAUGUUUUCAUUAAUCAAGAACGAAAGU
rnacentral:rRNA from 1 species